UACGUAGGGCGCAAGCGUUGUCCGGAAUUAUUGGGCGUAAAGAGCUCGUAGGCGGCUUGUCACGUCGGGUGUGAAAGCCCGGGGCUUAACCCCGGGUCUGCAUUCGAUACGGGCAGGCUAGAGUGUGGUAGGGGAGAUCGGAAUUCCUGGUGUAGCGGUGAGAUGCGCAGAUAUCAGGAGGAACACCGGUGGCGAAGGCGGGUCUCUGGGCCGAUACUGACGCUGAGGAGCGAAAGCGUGGGGAGCGAACAGG
rnacentral:rRNA from 1 species